rnacentral:misc_RNA from 1 species
GAUGAAGAACGUAGCGAAAUGCGAUAAGUAGUGUGAAUCGCAGAAUUCAGUGAAUCAUCGAAUCUUUGAACGCACAUUGCGCCCCUUGGUAUCCCGAGGGGCAUGCCUGUUCGAGCGUCAUUUCACCACUCAAGCCUGGCUUGGUGUUGGGCGACGUCCUCUUUGGGGACGCGCCUCGAAACGCUCGGCGGCGUGGCACCGGCUUUAAGCGUAGCAGAAUCUUUCGCUUUGGAAGUCGGGGCCCCGUCUGCCGGAAGACCUGCUCGCAAGGUUGACCUCGGAUCAGGCAGGGAUACCCGCUGAACUUAAGCAUAUCAAUAAGCGGAGGA